rnacentral:rRNA from 1 species
GACGAACGCUGGCGGCGUGCUUAACACAUGCAAGUCGAACGGAAAGGCCCUGCUUGCAGGGUGCUAGAGUGGCGAACGGGUGAGUAACACGUGGGUGCACUGCCACUUACUUUUGGAUAAGCCUGGGCAACUGGGUCUAAUACUGGAUAGCACCAUGCUGCUGGUGGUGUGGUGGAAAGAUUAGUUUCGGUAAGGGAUGAGCUCGCGGCCUGUCAGCUUGUUGGUGGGGUAAUGGCCUACCCCGGCGUCGACGGGUAGCCGGCCAGAGUGGGUGGGCGGCCACAUUGAGACUGCGACGCGGGGCAGAAGCCUGGGGGAGUGAGCAAUGGGGACAAGUGUACAACGGGCGUAAGGCGGAUGCGGCGACGCCGCUUGGGUGAUGACGGCCUUCGGGUUGUAAACACCUGCCAGCCAUGAAGAAGCCGUUGUGGUGACGGUAGUGGAAGAAGAAGCACCGGCUAACUACGUG